rnacentral:misc_RNA from 1 species
GAUGAAGAACGUAGCGAAAUGCGAUACGUAAUGUGAAUUGCAGAAUUCAGUGAAUCAUCGAGUCUUUGAACGCACAUUGCGCCCCCUGGUAUUCCGGGCGGCAUGCCUGUCCGAGCGUCAUUGCUGCCCUCAAGCACGGCUUGUGUGUUGGGCCUCCGUCCUCCUCCCGGGGGACGGGCCCGAAAGGCAGCGGCGGCACCGCGUCCGGUCCUCGAGCGUAUGGGGCUUCGUCACCCGCUCUUGUAGGCCCGGCCGGCGCUUGCCGACACAUCAAUCUUUUUUCCAGGUUGACCUCGGAUCAGGUAGGGAUACCCGCUGAACUUAAGCAUAUCAAUAAGCGGAGGA